GAUGAAGAACGUAGUGAAAUGCGAUAAGUAAUGUGAAUUGCAGAAUUCAGUGAAUCAUCGAAUCUUUGAACGCACAUUGCGCCCCUUGGUAUUCCGAGGGGCAUGCCUGCUCGAGCGUCAUUAUAACCCCUCAAGCUCAGCUUGGUGUUGGGGCCUGCUGCACUGGCAGCCCUUAAAAUCAGUGGCGGCGCCAUCUGGCUCUAAGCGUAGUAAUUCUUCUCGCUAUGGAGUCCUGGUGGAUGCUUGCCAUCAACCCCCAAUUUUUCUAUGGUUGACCUCGGAUCAGGUAGGGAUACCCGCUGAACUUAAGCAUAUCAAUAAGCGGAGA
rnacentral:misc_RNA from 1 species